ACCUCAUGGUUAGGACAUUGCAUAUGUUUUCCAUUGAAUCUUUCCCAUACCUCAUACAAGGGUUCUCCAUUCAAUUACCGAAAGUUAGUAGUUUCAUCAUAUAGUU
rnacentral:snoRNA from 1 species